UUUUGCACUUCUAAUGAGAGAAAAAGACACGUUGUCGCCUAUAAGUUGAAUAUGUUUAACUGCUUGCAGAGAAAUAUCUUGUUUGACUUCCAUUCAAAUCUCUUUAUAUUUCCCCUUCUUGUCCUCUGUACAGUCACUUCAAUUUUUUGUGUCAAAGGAUCUUCUGAUAUUAGCUCUACAGACUAGAUAAGAGCAUAAUGCCCUCAACUUGGAUCCAUCCAAAUUGUUGCUUGUAUCAAAGUUCCUGUCUUCCUGUGGUUACUGAAACAAUUUUUUGGUAUUUCAUUUUGAUGUUACUUUUUAAUAUAUCUCGUUGCAUAGA